GAAGCAGACUGCACGCACAUCUCAGACAGCUUACAAAGCUCUGGCAGUAGGAGAGCGUGGCCGUUUCCCGAGAUGUGUGAUCUCACCAUCAAGUCCUGAAGCUCAUUCUCUGGUGAUGAACCUUUCUAGAGAAGCCAGUGUCUGACAUGGUUUGGUUCCUAUUGUCACCUGAUUUGCACCCUUGGAGCAAUGGGAGGGAUGGGAACAGCCUGUGCUGGCUGCCUGAGAAUCUUACAGUUAUUUCCAAGGUUACCAAAAUCUCCUCUAUGCUUAGAAAAUCUUCCAAAAAAUACAUUAUUGGUCUCAAUAUUACUCCUUGGCUUUUUUGUGGAUCCUCACCUGCUGACAGCUCUGAGGAAGAGUGUUCUGGGAAUGGAUCCAGGAGUCACCAGUGCUCAGCUGCACUAAGAGCUCUUGCAAUGUGCGGGAUCAGCAGCAGUUGGUGAGGAGCUGUCUCUGAUACUGUGAGAGACUUGGCACCUCUGUGUGAUGAAAUCCUUAUACUGGCUGUGGUUACAGGGCUGAGCAAAACACAGAGCAGAUGAAGAGAUACAGGGAGCCUCCAGUUUUUUAAGGAUUACAGUAGCUGGCAGCUCCUUGUGAAAUCCGGUUGCUGAAGGACAGUGCUGAUCCAGGGGUGCUGCGUGUGCUGGGCCAGACAGAUGGUGUCCACAUCCAGUCUGCACGCAGCAAAGCAAAGCCCUGCUGUCAUGCCUGGAGAGCUCCUUGGAAAGCACAAGGAAGAUGUGGCACACUGAGACCAAGGGAAGAGCAGCCGCCUUGUCCCAGUGAGACGUGGAGCACUGCAAAGUCUCAUCUCCUUGCAAGAUGAGGGAUGGAAGCUGCCCUUUUGAGAUGGCAACCACACCAGAACCAGUUGCUUUCCUAACCAGCUGAUGUCCUUCCCAUGGCACUGAGGACAGACAGCUUGGUGGCCCUGGUGGCUUGCUGGGGAGGAGCAGGCAGUGGGUCUGCAGUUCUUUGUGUGACCGUAGAAAUACAGCAAGAGGCAUGGCUGGAUAAGCCUCACCAAGGGUUGUGAGGGAUGUCAGUGUGAAGGGUGCAGCUAAGCUGAAGCCAUGCAGAAUUAACUUCAGUGUCUCCCUUUCAUGGCUCUGUUCACAUGUGAAAUGAGUGACAUGGAGAUUUGAGGAAGAGCAGACCACAUAUAAAAGGAACAAUCAAUCUUACUGGAUUUUUAAAAGAAGGCACAAAUAAGUACCCCAUGCAGAGGAAAAUUACCUACGUAAGACACUUUCCAAGAACAAAUGAGGGAUGAUUUCUUCCAUCACUGACAUCAGUUACACAUAUGUGGAUAAACAUCACAGUGAGUAGCAGUCCUGCAAUCCACAGGGGCACUGGAAAAAGUAAACUCGUGGGUGACACUUCUGAGCAUUCAGUUAGGGUUUGCUCUCAAGCAUACCUAAAUGAAGGAUCCGUGGUCCCUGAAAUGUAGGAAUUGUUCAGCCUCCAUGUAUAACAGACUUUCCCAAGGGUUUGAAGGUUGUUACUGAGCAGGUCCUGUUACCUGUAUUUAUUUCCUCUGAUGGGAAGAGCAAGGCAGGCACCCAAGAAGCACUAGCAUUAUGUUGGGAAAGGCACAGGAGAAUACUGAGAAGCAAAGCUACAAUUUUCUCCAGCAUUUUACUGCCUCCCUUCAUUGCAUGUCUGGUAGAAGUAAACAAGAUCAGAUACAUUUAUACUGAAAGCAGUUCUGGCAAAUUUGGAAUCUCUCAACUGCAGAUGGAGAGAUGAUGCUUCAUGAUGCUUCACAUUUCUGGUCUACUGCAUAUUCAGAGCUCUCUCUGCCUUCAGUCUCAGUGCUGCUUUGGCUCUGAGAUCAUUAGCUUCAUUUUGUUCAGCUUCAGCAAUGUGGCUCCCAGAUGUGUUUUCCGGUAUUUCGUUUAUAACUGUGAGGAAUCUACAGCAUCCAGUCACCCCUGUGCCUGCUUUUUUUUUUUUUUCCUUGGCAUUGAAAUUCUCUGAACAGGACAUUCCUAUUAACAUCAACAGUCAAAAAUGAAAUAAAACUAAAAAACCCUGUAAGGUUUUCAUUCUCACCAGGAAGCUCUUUAAGGUAGAACUUCAACCACACACACUUUUAUAGAAAUAUUUGCUGGUAAAAUUAUGGGAGUUUUUUUACUCGCCACUACGCUUAUAGGAGUUUUCAGCUGACAUCUUACAUCCAUAUGAAGUGUGCCUUUUCAGUCUCCAGCUUUGAUUUGAAUCGUGAUUAUUCCUCAGCAUUUCCACCAGUGUGCUCCUCCUUUUAAUCCAGUGGUCUCUGCAGAAGCACUGGAUAUUUAGCUGUGUUUUAUUGCACUGACUGCAGAAUCCAGAACAUAAUGAAGAAAGGCCCCAUCCAGUGUUUUUGGAACACACCUUCAUUUGUCUGAAGUCGUGGUUUGCCAAGUGGAAGUAGCACAUCAGACUCUUAUUGCUCCUUUGCUAGCAUUUUUGGACUGUGGCUGAGGGUGGCUGAGGUGAAUUCACAGCAACAGCCUACUCCAAUGAGAAGGUUUGGGGAGACAACAUGGAAAAUAAGCAAAUUCCAGUUUAAACCUUGCCAGGCAAUAGCUGGUGACCAGAGGGGCUGAAAGGGACCCUAAAGGCUUUUGGAACAACAUUCUUUCUCAAUCAGCAGUAACGUGUACCAGGCUCCAUGGCUGUUACUUUGAUGAAACCAAUGCCAUCAUCUGACACCAAUCAGCUACAUCAAUGAUAAAGAAAGGUUGGCAUCUGCCAAGAAUGGAUUCAUUCUAAAGAGAUGCAACUGCUCAGGGCUGAGGACCACUUGCUAGAUACAGGUAUCUCUUCAGGAGCAACUUCAUUGUCUUGACAUGGGUAUGUACAGCUUGUAGGACCACAAAAAACCUCUACAUGUACACACACACACACAGAUGGAGCCAAGAGACUGAAUGAACCAUCCACCUCUUGCUGCAUUGUCUUCUUUGCUCUGCCAGCCUCUACACCAGAAGAGUGAGAAGAAAAUGUGGGAGAACAAAGUAAAUACCAUGCCUAUAUGUGGAACUUCUGGUCUACGACAAAGUUUUUUCAGCAAAACUGUAUACAAUUAAUGUACCUACAUAACUGUGUAUCCUUCAUGGUCUUUUCAUGAAGAUGUGUGUUGGAGAGAACCAUUCAUCUGGUUAAUAUUUGUUUGCACUUUAAUCCCCUUUUCUGUCCCGCUCCAAACUAAUUGUGUGUGCGUUUGUCCCUCCCUUUAACAACUGCAAAUAAAAAGCAGACGGGAAGCCAGGAGCUUUGACAAAAAGCAGGAAGAGGAGAAGAAAAAGCCCUGAGAAAAUGAUAGCCACACAUGGCACACUCUGAUCUCACUGUAAUGAGGAGGUUUGUAAAGACUUGCAUUUGUGGGUCAUUUACCCAUGCCGUACAGAGUGUUUGUUUUACUUGGUAAACAAGGAUCACAGCACUCCGCUUUUAGGCAAAUAGAUUGUGGAUAUAUUUUCAAAACUGAACUUGAAUGACUUUAAAAGUGUGUAAUAGCUCUCACUGCUUUUAAUUUCUUUUACACGUAGCUUUUUAAAUGUAGUGUGACUAUUGACAGCCCUGGAAGGUAAUCUAGGGUCAAUUUUCCCUUGCUUUGAUUUGGGCAAUCAAAAGAGAUACAGCUAGCAGCUGUGGAAUUUCUCUGUCUCUGAAUGUAUUUUACUCCAGUUUCUGGUGUUCUUGUCUGGCUCUGCUCUCCUGCCUAUGAUCUCAGCAUCACCUUGCGGUGCUCAGCCACCGAUAUUGCCCUCAUGUUGGCUUGCUCCAGGUGCAAGAAAGUUGGCUUACCUGGUAUGGAAACCCAGAUGGAUGACGGCCGGAGUUCAGUAUGGACUGAGGCUCUGUCCCUUAGCUCUUGCCUUGGCUGUAACCAGCUUGACCCACACAUAAAGCAAAAGUAAACUUGUGCUUGGACAUGGUUUAUGAAGAGAUCAGAGACGUGGUCUCUGUUGUUUCACCUCCGCGGAGCCCCAGAAACCUGAGGGUUGCCACACAGUGACCUCUUCUAGAAAUUAUAGACCGGCUCUUACCUGUGCAGUACAAUGUGAUCCAGGACCCUCCACACAGUUUGGGUAAAGUGCCUUUUUAUGCUCUCUGUUAGUGACUGCCCUUUGAUGUUACUCUUGAUAUUUGAACAUUCCAUGUUUGUGUUUCUGCUCUUUAGUCUUUGUGGAAAUGAAAAAUAUUUUACCACUCUUGCAAAAUUACACACUUCGGAUGUACUUUGGUAAUUUUUUGCAGUUUUUUUGAGUUUUGUGAGCCCUCUCACCGAUUUCCAGGGUACUCAGACUUACUGAUCAAGAUCCACUUCAGGACCUCGGACUGAAUCCAGCUAAGGCAAAUUUGUAUUUAUUUCUGCAAGAUGCUUCAUCACAGCUUCUAGCUUUACCUGAAAAAAAAUGCCUUGACAGCUUCACUAUACCUGUAAGCUCACACCUGGCCAUUCCACAGCUAGAUUGCUGCUGUCCUCCUGUGGGUCUCCACUACCUCCCUUCCUCCAUGGGGAGUAUCUUUUCCUGCCUUCACCCCCCAAAUUCUGGCUCCCUGCAUGCCUGACAGGGCAGCAGCCCCUCACUCCAGCCUUCAUUGUCAUGCUGAAUCAGCAGCUUGAAUACCAGGUCAGUUCUCACUCAUGUGCAACUCUUUCUGCUCUAGGGAAGGUCCCAGGAUGCAGGCAGUGUCAGUCCUCCCAACUCUGAGGCUCCCUCAGCCUCAGCCAGGAUGUGAAGGCUGCUGACAGCAGGAAUUCACAGCAGCAGGGUAUCAUGCUGCUUACUGCCUGCGAAUUUGGUGUAACACAAGGAUUUUGGACAGAGGAGCCAUAUACUGUGGGCUAUGGAAGGGUUGUCUUGAACAUUAAUUCAUGGGAGAGAACCAAACUGAGAGCUAUUUUAUGGCCAGCCUGGGAAUCCCUGCAUCACUGAAGCAGUAGUAACAAGUGCCCUCUGGGUGGAUAGGCAUGGAUUUUUCAUAUUGGUUUCCCCAACAGAUUUUUUUUCAACAAAGUUAAUAUUCUCCUGCUGAAAAUGCCUGUUCUGUAACAUGGAUAUUCUGUGCAUUUUAAUCAUUCCAGGAAAAAUUCCUACCCAGCAAGUCUAUUCAAUGCCUUACUUAUUUUCCUUCUUUGUGUUUUGUUUCCCAAAUGUAAAUAUUAAC